rnacentral:SRP_RNA from 1 species
GCUGGUAAUGGUGGCAUACCCCUUUAAUUCCUGCUACUGGUAAGACUGAGGCAGGAAGAUCUCUUGGGCUUAGGAGUUCUAAACCACAGUGGGCUAAACUGUUUGGAUGUCUUUAGUAAAUUCAGCACCAAUAUAGUGAGCCCCCGGGAGUGGGGACCACCAGGCUGCCAAGAGAGGGAGAAACAAGCCCAGGCUGGAAACAGAGCAGGUCAGGGUCCAAGUCAGAGUGGUAUUGGGUCUGUGAGAAACCCUUGUAUUUCUAGCCUAGGUGAGAAAAGGAGACCACGCCUUA